GCGCUCAUCGUAUAGGGGUCUUAGUACACCUCCCUUCCAAGGAGGAGACGGGGGUUUCGAGUCCCUCUGAGCGCA